GUAAAAGUCGUAACAAAGGUUUCCGUAGGUGAACCUGCGGAAGGAUCAUUACCGAGUGAGGGCCCUUUGGGUUCCAACCUCCCACCCGUGUUUAUUUUACCUUGUUGCUUCGGCGGGCCCGCCUUUACUGGCCGCCGGGGGGCUCACGCCCCCGGGCCCGCGCCCGCCGAAGACACCCUCGAACUCUGUCUGAAGAUUGAAGUCUGAGUGAAAAUAUAAAUUAUUUAAAACUUUCAACAACGGAUCUCUUGGUUCCGGCAUCGAUGAAGAACGCAGCGAAAUGCGAUACGUAAUGUGAAUUGCAAAUUCAGUGAAUCAUCGAGUCUUUGAACGCACAUUGCGCCCCCUGGUAUUCCGGGGGGCAUGCCUGUCCGAGCGUCAUUGCUGCCCUCAAGCCCGGCUUGUGUGUUGGGCCCCGUCCUCCGAUUCCGGGGGACGGGCCCGAAAGGCAGCGGCGGCACCGCGUCCGGUCCUCGAGCGUAUGGGGCUUUGUCACCCGCUCUGUAGGCCCGGCCGGCGCUUGCCGAUCAACCCAAAUUUUUAUCCAGGUUGACCUCGGAUCAGGUAGGGAUACCCGCUGAACUUAAGCAUAUCAAUAAGCGGA
rnacentral:misc_RNA from 1 species